UACGGAGGGUGCAAGCGUUAUCCGGAUUCACUGGGUUUAAAGGGUGCGUAGGUGGAUUAGUAAGUCAGUGGUGAAAUCUCUGGGCUUAACUCAGAAACUGCCAUUGACACUAUUAGUCUUGAAUACCGUGGAGGUCAGCGGAAUAUGUCAUGUAGCGGUGAAAUGCUUAGAUAUGACAUAGAACACCAAUUGCGAAGGCAGCUGGCUACACGAAUAUUGACACUGAGGCACGAAAGCGUGGGGAUCAAACAGG
rnacentral:rRNA from 1 species